rnacentral:rRNA from 1 species
AGAGUUUGAUCAUGGCUCAGAUUGAACGCUGGCGGCAUGCCUUACACAUGCAAGUCGAACGGCAGCGCGGGGCAACCUGGCGGCGAGUGGCGAACGGGUGAGUAAUAUAUCGGAACGUGCCCUGGAGUGGGGGAUAACGCAGCGAAAGUUGCGCUAAUACCGCAUACGAUCUAAGGAUGAAAGCGGGGGAUUCGCAAGAACCUCGUGCUCCUGGAGCGGCCGAUAUCUGAUUAGCUAGUUGGUGGGGUAAAGGCCUACCAAGGCAUCGAUCAGUAGCUGGUCUGAGAGGACGACCAGCCACACUGGAACUGAGACACGGUCCAGACUCCUACGGGAGGCAGCAGUGGGGAAUUUUGGACAAUGGGCGAAAGCCUGAUCCAGCAAUGCCGCGUGAGUGAAGAAGGCCUUCGGGUUGUAAAGCUCUUUUGUCAGGGAAGAAACGGUGUGGGCUAAUAUCCUGCACUAAUGACGGUACCUGAAGAAUAAGCACCGGCUAACUACGUGCCAGCAGCCGCGGUAAUACGUAGGGUGCAAGCGUUAAUCGGAAUUACUGGGCGUAAAGCGUGCGCAGGCGGUUUUGUAAGUUUGUCGUGAAAGCCCCGGGCUCAACCUGGGAAUUGCGAUGAAGACUGCAAGGCUUGAAUCUGGCAGAGGGGGGUAGAAUUCCACGUAGCAGUGAAAUGCGUAGAGAUGUGGAGGAACACCGAUGGCGAAGGCAGCCCCCUGGGUCAAGAUUGACGCUCAUGCACGAAAGCGUGGGGAGCAAACAGGAUUAGAUACCCUAGUAGUCC